rnacentral:rRNA from 1 species
CGGCGUGCUUAACACAUGCAAGUCGAACGAAGACUCCUAAACCUGAGAUUCGGUCAAGGGCGAGGGAUGACUUAGUGGCGGACGGGUGAGUAAUGCGUGAGCAACCUGCCCUUCAGAGGGGGACAACAGCUGGAAACGGCUGCUAAUACCGCAUAAAGUACAGAUGAGGCAUCUCGACUGUACCAAAGAUUUAUCGCUGAAGGAUGGGCUCACGUCUGAUUAGCUAGUUGGUGAGGUAAUGGCUCACCAAGGCUGCGAUCAGUAGCCGGACUGAGAGGUUGGCCGGCCACAUUGGGACUGAGAUACGGCCCAGACUCCUACGGGAGGCAGCAGUGGGGAAUAUUGGGCAAUGGACGAAAGUCUGACGGAGCAACGCCGCGUGAGUGAAGAAAAGGUUUUCGGAUCGUAAAACUCUGUUGUCAGAGAAGAACAAGUUGGAGAGUAACUGCUCCAGCCUUGACGGUAUCUGACCAGAAAGCCACGGCUAACUACGUGCCAGCAGCCGC